rnacentral:rRNA from 1 species
UACGUAGGGGGCGGUAGCGUUUGUCCGGAUUUAUUGGGCGUAAAGAGCGUGUAGGCGCCAGGUAGGUCUGCUGUGAAAACUCGAGGCUCAACCUCGAGACGUCGGCGGAAACCAUCUGGCUAGAGUCCGGAAGAGGAGAGUGGAAUUCCUGGUGUAGCGGUGAAAUGCGCAGAUAUCAGGAAGAACACCCGUGGCGAAGGCGGCUCUCUGGGACGGUACUGACGCUGAGACGCGAAAGCGUGGGGAGCGAACAGG